rnacentral:rRNA from 1 species
GACGAACGCUGGCGGCGUGCUUAACACAUGCAAGUCGAACGGAAAGGCCCUGCUUUUGUGGGGUGCUCGAGUGGCGAACGGGUGAGUAACACGUGAGUAACCUGCCCCUGACUUUGGGAUAACUUCAGGAAACUGGGGCUAAUACCGGAUAGGAGCUCCUGCUGCAUGGUGGGGGUUGGAAAGUUUCGGCGGUUGGGGAUGGACUCGCGGCUUAUCAGCUUGUUGGUGGGGUAGUGGCUUACCAAGGCUUUGACGGGUAGCCGGCCUGAGAGGGUGACCGGGCACAUUGGGACUGAGAUACGGCCCAGACUCCUACGGGAGGCAGCGGUGGGGAAUAUUGCACAAUGGGCGGAAGCCUGAUGCAGCAACGCCGCGUGCGGGAUGACGGCCUUCGGGUUGUAAACCGCUUUCGCCUGUGCCGAAGCGUGAGUGACGGUAAUGGGUAAAGAAGCACCGGCUAACUACGUG